AUGCCGCCCGCAAUGGCCACGCUCACCACCACCUCCCCUCCCCUCCUCCUCCUCAGCAUCAUCCUCUUCCUGCUGGCUGACGCCGCCGCCACGGCCGACGCGGUGCGGUUCGACUACGCCACGCUGACCCUCGCCACUCUCAAGCUGCUGGGCGACGCGCACCUCAACAACAACACCAUCCGCCUCACGCGGGACCUGCCGGUGCCCACCUCGGCCGCGGGGCGGGCGCUCUACGCGGCCCCCGUUCGCCUCCUCGCCGGCUUCUCCACCAGCUUCGCCUUCACCGUCACCACGCUCAACCGGGGCUCCGUCGGCGGGGGGCUCGCCUUCGUCGUCGCCCCCGACGCCGCCUCCGUCGGCGACGGCGGGGCGUUCAUCGGGCUCGACCCCGCCGCCGACGUCGCCGUCGAGUUCGACACGCUCAUGGACCUCCAGUUCGGGGACGUCAACGGGAACCACGUGGGCGUCGAUCUCGGCAGCAUGGUGUCCGUGGCCGCCGCCGAUCUGGAUUUGGCUGGGGUCGAGCUCACCAGCGGGAGGACCGUGUACGCGUGGAUCGAGUACGCGCCGGGGAAGGCCAUGGACGUGUUCGUGUCCUACUCGGCCAAGCGGCCCCCGGCGCCGGUGCUGUCGGCGACGGUCGAUCUGGCGGGCUAUGUCAAGGAGCAGGCGUUCGUGGGGUUCUCCGCUUCCACGCAGGGCAGCACGGAGAUCCACGCCAUCGAGUGGUGGAGCUUCUCGACCCCGUCCCCUCCUUCCCCGGCGCCGUCCAAGCCGCCGCCCGUUUCCGCGGUUGCUCCCCCUCCGGCGAGGGUCCUCGACCCGACGCUUCCCUCUACUCCGCAGCUCCCGGGCAUCACGCCGCCAGCGACACCAGCGACGGUUUCGGCACCGCCGACCAGCUCAGUUACUGCGGCGAGCGCCCCGGCCAUUUCGGUCGCUCGGAAUAAUGCCAAGACGCCGCACCCGCCUCCACAAGGGGCCGUGGCCGGCGCCGCGACGGCGGGGGCAGUCGUGGCGGCGUCGUUCGCGGGCUUCGCGCUCUGGGCGCUCGCGCGCCGCGCCAAGGCUAGGAAGCGGGACGCCAUGGCGGUGGCCACGAAGCGCGACAACGUGGCGUCGGCGGCGGCCAUGGCGCGGUCGCCGCGGGAGUUCUCCUACAAGGAGCUCAGCGCCGCGACGCGGGGCUUCGACGCGUCCCGGGUCAUCGGCAACGGCGCGUUCGGCGUCGUGUACAAGGGCAUCGUCCCGGACACGGGCGCCAUGGUCGCCGUGAAGCGGUGCACCAACGCCAACGCCGACGGCGCGCAGGCGCGGGCCGAGUUCCUCUCCGAGCUCUCCAUCAUCGCGGGCCUCCGCCACCGCAACCUCCUCCGGCUCCAGGGCUGGUGCUACGAGAAAGGCGAGAUCCUGCUGGUCUACGACUAUAUGCGCAACGGCAGCCUGGACCGGACGCUCUUCGACGCCUCCUCCCCGGCCCUGCCGUGGCGCCACCGCCACGAGAUCCUCGCCGGCGUGGCCUCCGCGCUGGCCUACCUCCACCACGAGUGCGACCGCCGCGUCAUCCACCGGGACGUCAAGUCGAGCAACGUGAUGCUGGACGAGUCGUACCGCGCGCGGCUGGGCGACUUCGGGCUCGCGCGGCAGGCCGAGCACGGCGCGUCCCCGGACGCCACGGCCGCGGCCGGCACCAUGGGGUACCUGGCGCCGGAGUACAUGCUGACCGGCCGCGCCACCGAGGCCACCGACGUGUUCAGCUUCGGCGCGCUGGUGCUGGAGGUGGCGUGCGGGCGGCGGCCCAUCGGGACGGAGGGCCGGUGCAACAACCUGGUGGAGUGGGUGUGGAGCCUGCACGGCGAGGCCCGCGUGCUGGACGCCGUCGACCCGCGGCUCGGCGGCGAGUACGACGAGGGGGAGAUGCGGCGGGUGCUGCUGGUGGGGCUUGUGUGCUCCAGCCCGGAGCCGGAGCGCCGGCCGGGGAUGCGCGCCGUGGUGCAGAUGCUGAGCGGGGAGGCGGACCCGCCGUUCGUGCCGGCGGCGAGGCCGUCCAUGAGCUUCAGCGCCAACCACCAGCUGCUGCUGAGCCUCCAGGACAGCGUGUCCGACUACAACGCGCUGGGGCUGAACCUGUCGGAUGAGGACUCCUCGUCCGACUCGCUGAGCUCGUCGUCGCUCACCAGCACUCUGCGCAAGGGCGGCCACGACAUCGGGUUCAGCAGCACCGCCGGCGGCGACGCCCGGUGA
rnacentral:rRNA from 1 species